ensembl:lncRNA
CUAGAUAAUCUGCAACAGGUUCCCGGCAGGGUGCGAGAGAGUUUAGCUAAUUUAAUUGACCAAGCCCUAGAAGAUGCCCCAUCAGGGAGCAUGUUGAAUGUUGUGUUACGAGGACCAUCCCUAACCAGUGAUGUGCAGUGUGUGUUACAAUCAGAUGAUGAUUAUAAUACAGAUUUAUUCCUUGAGGAAAUCAUGCAAGUGCUUCAAAGUAAUGACGAGUCUAUAUCAUCAGAAACUUGAAUUUAUCGCCACAGUUGCUCAUAACAGGAGCGGCGGGGUUCGUUUGAGAUUAGGGCUUGGCUACAGGAGGUGGUAAGUGACUCAUGUUGUAACUGACGUCAGACGCCGGAGAUUUUGGCGGAAAAUUAAAGCGAAUGGUAGUUUAGAAUUGAACAAAGUUUCUUUAAGCUUCAGUAUUACCAAAUAUACUAAUUGAUUGUCAUAUAACUAACAACAUCUGUCCCAUCAUCUCUAACACCCUGGAGGACAACGGGGAGAGUUUAGAAUUCUAUUUAUGCAACAACUAUGAUAAUGCAUAAAUUAAAUGUAAUCUUAAUUGGAAAUUGUGCAUAUUGAUAUUGGCUGCAGCUUUAAUCUUCUCUGCUUAACUUCUAUAUGCAAGAUACAUUUAAAAGAUAAAGUGACUAGUUACUUCUUUAUAUUUGCAUCUUUAUGUAAAGUAAUAAAUGUUGAGGAGACCUUUAAGUAUAAUGUGUUCACCUAUGGAAGUGUAAAAAUGACUAUACAAAAAAUGAUAUGAGUCUGUAGAGGAAAAUAUGGCAAAGUCCCAAGACUUACAAAAGGAAGCCUAUGCCAGACGAGUCCAGAAGAAAUACAGAAACCUAGCUGCGGGAAGUUUGUUUUUUUUUUUGUUGAUGAGUGAGUAUAGGGGUGGGAUUUAAUAAGUUCUCUUCGUCCCACUCCUUUUUCAGGCAAGUUUUGUUUUUUGUUUUGUGUAUUUUAUGUUCAAUAUAGGUAUUUGUUGUGCCUGAAAAUGAAUAAAUAAAUGAAUGAAUGAAUGAAUGAAUGAAUGAACCUUGUGUACAGCGUUGGAGAUGAAGUUCUUCUCCUGAACAUGAGGAAACGUGGAAGGAAGGGAGGAAGGUUUGAUCCAGAUUUUUCAGGACCCUACACCAUUCAAGACAUCGCUGGCAAAUGUGUGAGAUUAAAAAACACGGAAGGAGCAACUUUAAAAAAUCACUACAGCAUUGACCAUAUCAAGCCGUACAGAAGAAGCCACCAUGUAAAUGUCAGUGACAAUGAAAAAUACCCAACUCACAGUCAGACAGUGAACAGCAACACAGACCUGAAGAUGCCCCCCUGCCAUCCUACUGCUAACCCUCAGUGCCAGCAAAGUCCAGAGGAUACCAGACCCUCUAUUAUUCAUUAUGCACCCAAAACAGCUGACAAAAGUUGUUUCUCCCACAAGGAGUUUAAUUCUGUUCCUGGACCGGAAACGCGUGAACAAGAACUUCCCUCCCAGACACGAAGCUCAGAAAAUGAAGGUGGCAUAGUGAACAACUCUUUUUGGCCCGUUGGUCAUUUGUUGCCAGUUUGGCGUUGCAACAUGAUUGAUCAUUGCAUGACUUUGUUUGCAUUUUGCAGUCUUCAACUCAUAUUGGAUGUAAAGAAACAUGCAACAUGCACUGAGCUUGUGGAAGUCUGGAAAUGGAUCUGCCUUAAAGAGGCUGUGGCGUGCAAAGGAUACUGGGCGCUUGGAGUCAGUUGUUGGACCAUACAAGUUAUUUGAUUCCUCUUUACGAACACUGCAGGGGUCACGGUGGCUUUCUGAUGAGGUCAUUGAUGCAUACCUGCACCGUGUCAUUGAGAGACGAAAGAAUGCUGUACACCUGCUCUGUUCAGUAGUUGCAAGCUCGUUGUUUUCUGGGCAGUUCAGAUGCCUCACCAAGAUGAAGUUCCCAGUUGAAGACAUGUGGUUGUGCCCUGUGAACUUUGGUACGCACUGGAUUCUUGUGAUUGUCAACAUUUCUGCACAGAAAAUACUGCUCAUAGACCCCAUGGGGAAUGAAGGUGUUUAUGACAGGAAAAUUCUGCACAACUGGAGGAAUUUUCUGAGGAUGAGAGGGCAUGAAGACACCAUGGAGUGGCAGUUACAGACUAUGCAACACAACAACCAACAGGAUUCCAGCAGUUGCG